GACGAACGCUGGCGGCGUGCCUAACACAUGCAAGUCGAGCGGGGUUGAAGCGAGGGGUAACUCGAGUUUCUACCUAGCGGCGGACGGGUGAGUAACGCGUGGGCAACCUGCCUCAAGGACUGGGAUAACAGCUCGAAAGGGCUGCUAAUACCGGAUAAGCCUAUGGCCUCGCAUGGGGCCAUGAGCAAAGGGGAAACCUGCCUUGAGAUGGGCCCGCGUCCCAUCAGCUAGUUGGUGAGGUGAAGGCUCACCAAGGCGACGACGGGUAGCCGGCCUGAGAGGGUGACCGGCCACACUGGGACUGAGACACGGCCCAGACUCCUACGGGGGGGCAGCAGUGGGGAAUCUUGCACAAUGGGCGAAAGCCUGAUGCAGCGACGCCGCGUGAGCGAAGAAGGCCUCGGUUGUAAGUCUGUCUGGAGGGACGAAGGAAGUGACGGUACUCCGGAGGAAGGCCACGGCUAACUACGUGCCAGCAGCCGCGGUAAUACUCGUCUCUA
rnacentral:rRNA from 1 species